rnacentral:rRNA from 1 species
CCUACGGGUGGCAGCAGUGAGGAAUAUUGGUCAAUGGCCGGGAGGCUGAACCAGCCAAGUCGCGUGAGGGAAGACGGCCCUACGGGUUGUAAACCUCUUUUGUCAGGGAGCAAGGUGCAGGUCGGGACCUGCUGGGAGAGUACCUGAAGAAAAAGCAUCGGCUAAGUCCGUGCCAGCAGCCGCGGGAAUACGGAGGAUGCGAGCGUUAUCCGGAUUGAUUGGGUUUAAAGGGGUCGCAGGCGGAGGCACAAGUCAGCGGUAAAAUCGCGGGGCUCAACCCCGCUCCGCCGUUGAAACAGUGUCCGUUGAGUGCGCGAAGGGUAGGCGGAAGGCGUGGUGUAGCGGUGAAAUGCAGAGAUAUCACGCAGAACUCCGAUCGCGAAGGCAGCCUACCGGCGCGCAACGGACGCUCAUGCACGAAAGCGUGGGUAUCGAACAGGAUUAGAUACCCGAGUAGUC